rnacentral:rRNA from 1 species
UACGGAGGGGGCAAGCGUUAUUCGGAAUUAUUGGGCGUAAAGGGCGCGUAGGCGGCUAGAUGUGUCAAAGGUGAAAUCCCUCGGCUCAACUGAGGAACUGCCUUUGAAACUGUCUGGCUUGAGGCCGGGAGAGGGUAGCGGAAUUCCCAGUGUAGCGGUGAAAUGCGUAGAUAUUGGGAAGAACACCGAUGGCGAAGGCAGCCAUCUGGACCGACACUGACGCUGAGGCGCGAAAGCGUGGGGAGCAAACAGG